rnacentral:lncRNA from 1 species
GGGAAGCACUCCACACUCUCACCCAGGUCCUGUAUCCCUGCAAGACUGCGUUGGAAAGACUGAAGAGGCUGGAGUGCAGUGGCACAAUCUUGGCUCACAGGAACCUCCGCCUCCCAGGUUCAAGAGAUUCUCAUGCCUCAGCCUCGCGAGUAGCUGGAAUUACAGGAAGCUAAAGAAUGAUGCGCUCCACCACAAUGAGGGACUAAACAACAAAAAGGAGGCAUGAGAUUCAGGAAGCAAAAAAGGAAUUCAUCAUAUGAAGGAAUGAAGAUGUUCAAAAGAAAACCUUCAACCUCAUGCCAGAAGAUGUUCCCAGCUGUAUAAAUGCCUAACUCAGCUUCUAGUCCUUGGAAAUUAAGCAGCUCAUUGAAAAUUCAAGAGUUCCAGCCAGAAGCUACAGCUAGGCUCAGAUGUUGAAAUCAGUCUCUCCUGCUGAUUAAACUGUGACAUAGCCAAAGCAAUAGGCCUGGCUUUUCAGUUAAUUCUCAGCGAGCCCUUCCUUUCCCUCUGUAGUGGUUGGUGUGGCAUUUAUAAUAUAACUCCUUUAUGUACACUGUAA